rnacentral:lncRNA from 1 species
GUAUUUGUAUAACUAAACGUCAGAAAAUGUUAUUCGUAAUAUGUAGACUUUUUUUUUUGGGUAUAAUGUAGACAUUUCUUUUGACAUAAACUAUAUGAUGCAUGCGGGUUAUUGUGUUUCCUAAAUCAAUAAAAAGAAGAUGGACUGAUACCAUUGAUGUAAUUUUUUUUUAAAAAAAUUAUCUAUAGAUAAGAAUGGCUCUAAGUAUAUGAAAAUAGUUUAUGAUGACUUAACUUAGGAAUAUGAAUGUAUGUACAUGUGAAACAAAUAUGUUGGAAGAUACCGUGUUGAAACACAAAUUUAGAUCAAUAU